CUACUUCAGUUUCUCUUCAAAUCAUAUAAAUCUUUUGCCUUUUACUAAAUAUUUCUGUGAAAAGAAACAAUUACAAGUUAUUGACAAAUUUCUGAGACUCUGC
ensembl:snRNA U5 U5 spliceosomal RNA